rnacentral:rRNA from 1 species
UGGGCGAAAGCCUGAUCCAGCAAUGCCGCGUGAGUGAUGAAGGCCUUAGGGUUGUAAAGCUCUUUUACCAGGGAUGAUAAUGACAGUACCUGGAGAAUAAGCUCCGGCUAACUCCGUGCCAGCAGCCGCGGUAAUACGGAGGGAGCUAGCGUUGUUCGGAAUUACUGGGUUUAAAGGGUCCGCAGGCGGGCGAUUAAGUCAGGGGUGAAAUGGUGCGGCUCAACCGCAGCACUGCCUUUGAUACUGGUUGUCUUGAGUUAUGGUGAAGUGGCUGGAAUAUGUAGUGUAGCGGUGAAAUGCAUAGAUAUUACAUAGAACACCGAUUGCGAAGGCAGGUCACUAACCAUAUACUGACGCUGAUGGACGAAAGCGUGGGGAGCGAACGGGAUUAGAUACCCCGGUAGUCCACGCCGUAAACGAUGGAUACUAGCUGUUGGGCUUUCGGGCUCGGCGGCCAAGCGAAAGUGAUAAGUAUCCCACCUGGGGAGUACGUUCGCAAGAAUGAAACUCAAAGGAAUUGACGG